ensembl:lncRNA
GAGCCCUCGCUCCCGUGCCUGAGCCCGUUCCUGAUCCUGUUCCUGAGCCCGUUCCUGAUCCUGUUCCUGAGCCCGUUCCCGAGCCUGUUCCUGAGCCCGUUCCUGAGCCCGUGCCUGAUUCCCACUCCUGAUCCUGUUCCUGAUCCUGUUCCUGGUCCUGUUCCUGAGCCUGUUCCUGAGCCUGUUCCUGAUCCUGUUCCUGAGCCUGUUCCUGAUUCCCACUCCUGAUCCCAUUCCUGAUCCUGUUCCUGAGCCUGUUCCUGAUCCUGUUCCUGAGCCUGUUCCUGAUUCCCACUCCUGAUCCCAUUCCUGAUCCCGUUCCUGAGCCCGUUCCUGAUCCCAUUCCUGAGCCUGUUCCUGAUCCUGUUCCUGAGCCUGUUCCUGAGCCCGUUCCUGAGCCCAUUCCUGAUCUCAUUCCUGAUCCCAUUCCUGAUCCCAUUCCUGAUCCCGUUCCUGAGCCCGUUCCUGAUCCCAUUCCUGAGCCCGUUCCUGAUCCCCGUUCCUGAGCCCGUUCCUGAGCCCAUUCCUGAGCCCGUUCCUGAGCCUGUUCCUGAUCCCAUUCCUGAGCCUGUUCCUGAUCCCGUUCCUGAGCCCAUUCCUGAGCCCAUUCCUGAGCCUGUUCCUGAUCCUGUUCCUGAACCUGUUCCUGAGCCUGUUCCCGAUUCCCAUUCCUGAUCCCAUUCCUGAUCCCAUUCCUGAUCCCAUUCCUGAUCCUGUUCCUGAUCCCAUUCCUGAUCCCAUUCCUGAUCCCAUUCCUGAGCCUGUUCCUGAUCCUGUUCCUGAUCCCAUUCCUGAGCUCAUUCCUGAUCCCAUUCCUGAUCCCAUUCCUGAUCCCAUUCCUGAUCCCAUUCCUGAUCCCAUUCCUGAUCCCGUUCCUGAUCCUGUUCCUGAUCCUGUUCCUGAUCCCGUUCCUGAUCCCAUUCCUGAUCCCAUUCCUGAUCCCAUUCCUGAUCCCAUUCCUGAUCUCAUUCCUGAUCCCGUUCCUGAGCCCGUUCCUGAUCCUGUUCCUGAUCCCGUUCCUGAUCCUGUUCCUGAUCCUGUUCCUGAUCCCAUUCCUGAUCCCGCUCCUGAUCCCAUUCCUGAUCCCAUUCCUGAUCCCGCUCCUGAUCUCAUUCCUGAUCCCAUUCCUGAUCCCGCUCCUGAUCCCAUUCCUGAUCUCAUUCCUGAUCCCAUUCCUGAUCUCAUUCCUGAUCCCGUUCCUGAUCCCAUUCCUGAUCCCAUUCCUGAUCCCAUUUUUCCCAUUCCUCAUCCCAUUUUUCCCUGCACAGACCCCUCUGAUCCCAUUUCUGAUCCCGUUUUUCCCAAUUUUCCCCAUUUUUCCCUGCACAGACCCCUCUGAUCCCAUUUCUGAUCCCGUUUUUCCCAUUUUUCCCUGCAGAGGCCCCCCUGAUCCCAAUUUUCCCGUUUUUAUCCCAUCCCCUUCUGGAUGAUCCAGGACCCUUUCCCUGCUGGCUGCAGAGGGACUGCGAGGGGAAAUCCUUGGAUUUGGAUGGGAUCCCACCCUUGGGAAUAACUCCAGGGACAGCUGGGGGCAGUUCAUUCCCUGGUAAUUCAUUAAUUCCCUAAAUUAAUUCCCUAAAUUAACAAUUCCCUAAAUGAAUUCCCUAAAUUAACAAUUCCCCAAAUGAAUUCCCUAAAUUAACAAUUCCCUAAAUGAAUUCCCUAAAUUAACGAUUCCUAAAUGAAUUCCCUAAAUUAACAAUUCCUAAAUGAAUUCCCUAAAUUAACAAUUCCCUAAAUGAAUUC